rnacentral:rRNA from 1 species
CUUGGUUGAUCCUGCUAGUAGUCAUAUGCUUGUCUCAAAGAUUAAGCAAUGCAUAUAAAAGUAUGAACUAAUUCAGACUGUGAAAUUGUGAAUGGCUUAUUAAAUUAGUUAUAGUUUGUUUAAUGGUAUCUACUACUUGGAUAAUCAUAGUAAUUCUAGAGCUAAUACAUGCAAUGAACCCUGACUUCUAGAAGGGAUGCAUUUAUUAGAUAAAUGGUUGAUACAGGCUAUGUCUAUUGCUUUGAUGAUUCAAGAUAACUUGACAGAUCACAUAGUCUUUAUGCCUAUGACACAUCAUUUAAAUUUUUGCCCUAUCCACUUUUAAUAGUAGAUAGUGGCCUACUAUGGUGGUGAUGGGUGAUGGAGAAUUAGGGUUUGAUUUUGGAAAAGGGAGCCUAAGAAAUGGCCACCACAUCCAAGGAAGGCAAUAAGCAUGCAAAUUACCCAAUCUUGACAUGGGGAGGUAGUGACAAUAAAUAACAAUACCAGGCUCUAUGAGAUUGAUAAUUGGAAUGACUACAAUUUAAAUCCCAUAAUAAGGAUCCAUUUAAAGGCAAGCCUGGUGCCAACAGUCAUAGUAAUUCCAACUCCAAUAGCGUAUAUUUAAGUUGUUGCAGUUGAAAAGCUUGUAGUUGGAAAUAGGGUUGGGUUAUCUGGUUUGUCUCAUAGUGAGCAUCAAUCUAUUCUCCCUACUAUCGAUGAUGCACUCUUGGCCCUAAUUGGCUAAGUUGUUCCUCUGGCACUAUUAAUUCAAAGAAAUUAAAGUGCUCAAAGCAGGCCUAUGCUUGUAUACAUUAGCAUGGGAUCACAUCAUAGGAUUUUGGUCCUAUUGUGUUAGCCUUUGAGAUUGGAGAAAUAACUAACAAAGGCAGUCAGGGGCAUUCGUAUUUCAUAGUCGAGGUGCAAUUCUUGGAUUUAUGAAAGAUGAACAACUGUGAAUGCAUUUGCCAAGGAUGUUUUCAUUAAUCAAGAACAAAAGUUGGGGGCUCAAAAAUGAUCAGAUACUAUCCUAGUCUCAACCAUAAACAAUGCCAACCAGGGAUCGACGGAUGUUACUUUUAGAACUCCACUGGCACCUUAUGAGAAAUCAAAGUCUUUGGGUUUCAAGGGUUGUAUGGUUGCAAGGCUGAAAGUUAAAAGAAUUGAUGGAAAGGCACCAAUAAGAGUAGAGCCUAUGAUUUAAUUUGACUCAACACAGGGAAACUUACCAGGUCUAGACAUAGUAAGGAUUGAUAGACUGUGACCUCUUUCUUGAUUCUAUGGGUGGUGGUGUAUGGCCAUUCUUAGUUGGUGGAGUGAUUUGUCUAGUUAAUUACUUUAAUGAAGAAGGCUUCAACCUACUAACUAGCUACCUAAAGGUGAUGUUUCAUAGCUAGCUUCUUAGAAGGACUAUGGCCACCUAGGCUAAGGAAGUUUGAGGCAAUAAUAGGUUUGUGAUGCCUUUUGAUGUUCUGGGCCACACAUGCACUACACUGAUGUAUUCAAUGAGUCUCUAGCCUUGACCAAUAGGCUUGGGCAAUCUUUGAAAUUUCAUCAUGAUAGGGAUAGAUCAUUGCAAUUGUUGGUAUUCAAUGAAGAAUUCCUAGUAAUCACAAGUCAUUAGCUCAUGUUGACUAUGUCCCUAUGUCAUAAGCUAAUACUCAUGCUUUGACUCCUGUGGCUCUAGGGCUUGAGAAUGGACUCAUCCAGUGUCCCAGAUCAACCUUUAACUAGAUUGGUAUAUGGACAUUUGAACCACUAGGGCCAGUCACCUCAAGCUACUGCUAAACAAUUC